GAGGACCGGAGUGGACGCAUCACUGGUGUUCGGGUUGUCAUGCCAAUGGCACUGCCCGGUAGCUAAAUGCGGAAGAG
rnacentral:rRNA from 2 species